AGGCGUGUUGCUUGACUUCUUCUCCUGUUUGGGAAUGUCCAAGUUGCAUUUCAAGCCGGCUUACAAUCCGUACACUGAGCCGAGCAUGGAAAUAUUCGGGCUUAAAGAAAUGGGUUGAAGUAGGAAAUUCUGGAAUGUUCAGACCUGAAAUAUUACUUCCUAUGUGCAGCAGUAUUCAGUUUAUGUGGCAGCGUGUUUAUAUAGUCCUUCUUGCUAGCUGUUGGAUCAGGAAUUGCAUUUUGACAGGAUAUACAAGCGAUGUUCAUAGGGGGUCAAAGUUUGGGCUUCAGCUGUUCAGUAUUGUCACUCGGGUUACAUCCUUUUGGGUCUCCUGGUGCAAUGUCCAUCAUUUGAGUUGGGUUUUAUGUUGACUGGCUUCGGGUUUGUUACAUCCCAGGUUUGCUAUACCGGAUCAUCAGUUUUGGUUUGCAGUCCAAAAUCCUUAUCAUGAUAUAUGGGCCUCGGUUUUGGCACCUGUUUCGUACCUUCUAAUCACUGAUACAUCGGAUCCCAUUUCAACUUUAAUUGAUUUUGUGUAUCCUUCAAUUCUUGAAAACUUCAACAAUCAAAAUUAUUUCAGUGAGAGGGCUAUACUUGCAUCUGGAUAUAUUACAUUAUUUGUCUCAUUGUAGUUUACUAAUUUAUUAUUACUUGAACGGUUAUUUAAUUCAAACGAUUACUUCAAUAAAUUAAAGUUAUUCAUUUGUGUUU